GUUCCUGUAGUUAAAUCCCUAUAACAGUGGCUUUUCAGGCCACAGACCCUGGAUAAAAGCCAGGCAGGAAUU
rnacentral:tRNA from 1 species